rnacentral:tRNA from 1 species
GCUAUAGCUCAGCUGGACAGAGCGACCGCCUCCUAAGCGGUAGGCCGGAGGUUCAAAUCCUCUUAGC